rnacentral:RNase_P_RNA from 1 species
UCAGUCGGUCGGGCAGCCGCGCUCGUCAUAUGCCGAAAGGCGGCAGGUGAGGAAAGUCCGGGCUCCAUGGAAACACGAUGCCGGGUAACGCCCGGCGGGGUGACCCCAGGAAAGUGCCACAGAAAGAGACCGCCGUCUUCCCUACCGUUUGCAUGAUGAAACGGUAGGGAUGACGGGGUAAGGGUGAAAGGGUGGAGUAAGAGCCCACCGCGUCUGCAGCAAUGCAGACGGCACGGUAAACCCCAUCGGGAGCAAGACCGAAUAGGGACGGCGCAUCGGUCCGCAAGGACUGGUAAUCAGUUUCCGGAUCAGCCGUCCGGGUGGGUUGCACGAGGCGGGUGGCGACAUCCGUCCCAGAUGAAUGGCUGCCACGUCGGGCGCAAGCCCGGCCAUACAGAACCCGGCUUACAGACCGGCUGACAAU